rnacentral:rRNA from 1 species
AGCGAACGUUAGCGGCGCGCCUAACACAUGCAAGUCGCACGAGAAACGGAGCAAUCCGCGGUACAGUGGCGCACGGGUGAGUAACACGUGGAUGACCUUCCCUGGAGUGGUGGAUAACCUGCCGAAAGGCGGGCUAAUACAGCAUGGGACCACGACGCUUUGGCGAUGUGGUGAAAGCGGGCCUCUAUAUAUAAGCUCGCGCUCCGGGACGGGUCCGCGUCCCAUCAGCUAGUUGGUGAGGUAACGGCUCACCAAGGCAACGACGGGUAGCUGGUCUGAGAGGAUGGCCAGCCACACUGGAACUGAGACACGGUCCAGACUCCUACGGGAGGCAGCAGUGGGGAAUCUUGCGCAAUGGGCGAAAGCCUGACGCAGCGACGCCGCGUGGGCGAAGAAGGCCUCGG